GCUUCCUGCCCAGCUGGUCUCCAGUUCCUUUUGUGGGAUUUUCAAGGUUGACUGCUGCUGCAUUUUCUCAGUUACUCUUCUAGAAGCUUUUGCCUGUUCUCCUCCUCAGCAGCAGUUUCACAGGAUUCCUUGAAGUGGGUCGCAGAUGGAGAGAGACACUUACUUCAGUGAGCUUGUGGACUGACAAAUCCUUUGAACAGAGAGCAAGCCGAGACAGGUUUCACAACGGGGAUCAUACAACGGACUGUUGUUGCACACACACUGUUAGGUACAGGAUGUGAACAGGAUACAGAGCCAGCCCUGAUUCAGAGCAAAUGCAUGGAUGGAGAUCAAGUCAUAAGGAUAAAGACAACAGCUCCCUUGGAAAGAUAAACAGGUAGCAAAAGAAGAGAACAAAAAAUAGUAGGACAAGAAAGCCUGCACUUCUGUUGUGCCAUCCUGGACAAGAAGCAGGUUGUAUGGAAUGUGUCCUUCUGUGGUGUUUUCUUUCUGACCAGUUUGGCUGCUGCACAGUAAGUGUUGCCUCUCAUAAAUCCAAAAGGGGCUGCAUGUUUCUCAGUUAACCAGUGGGCUAAUGUUUCUAUUUCUCAAUAAUAAUGUGAGAUGUAGUUCACAUGGCAUCACUUAAAACUGUAGAGAUUGCUGAUUCUUGUUGUAUCAUCCUGGUGGAUGCCAUCAUUCCUAAGGCUGUCAUUAUGGUGGGUGAUCGGAGAGCUCGACUUCUAAGCAGCCUUCUAAGAUUUUGGUUUGAGCUGGAAUCAUAUUGAUGAUGCAGCUUUCAGAAGUUGCAGAAUUGGAGGUUUCCAUAGAACCAGAAGGGAAACUGCAGUCUCAAGAAGUUCUGUC